rfam:Triticum aestivum genome assembly, contig: Triticum_aestivum_CS42_TGACv1_scaffold_425192_5BS
AUCAGGAAUAGGAAGAAAAUGAGCAUCUAAGAGCAUUAGGCAUGGGAACAUUGAGGAAGGCCUAAACUAGUGUGUCCCUGUCCAACUAGGUUCGAACAUUUGUUUUGGAAUUUUCCAGAUGCCUCUCAUGCCUAAUGUUGUUAGGUGUUCCUUCCUCUCCCUUAUAACC